UUUCAGAGGACACCCCCUUUUUUACCCCCUCCUAAUCCCUGACCUGCCUAAAGCCUGUCAUUCAGGAGAGACAAACUACCGUCUUUCCAGGAGACUACUCCUCGCAAAGCAAGCUCUUCCUGAAGCCAAUCCCAGCUGCCAGGCUAGAACAACUUGAGGAGACACACCAAACCUCCAGACUAGGCUUUUGAAGCCCACCGUGAUCCCAGGCUGGAGCACUCCCAGCCGGAAUGAGCUCCCCAGAGCCAGGCACCCAGGCUGAGCCCUCCCAAGCAUCCCCCCAGGGCUGGCAAAAGCCCCAGGGCCUGGUGGUUUGGUCAGUCAGCCCUUUCCUCACCUCAAGAUGGGGCCUCAAGGAAAGGGAGGAGCGAGAAGUGGCACCCUUUUAUAAUGUGGAUGAAAACAUGUUCAUUGAAAUGAUCUUCCCGUGAAGCUGCAGAACUGCGUUUAGUGGGGGAAGAAUGGGACAUAGGUGAUAAAUGUUUCUAGGACUGACUCACCUAGCUCUUGAUACUACUGCUAAAUUAAAUUACAGUUCCUAUGAAACCUGCCUGGAGAGAACAAUUUUAAAGCAAUUCUCAUGGUAAUCAGUGGAAGGAAACCUUGGGAUCAAUCAAAGUACUGCUGGAGAAGAUGAAUUAUGGAGAGACUUUAUCUUUAAUUGACUUUGGAUAUAGUUAUAGGUAAAAUCCUCUUCUUACCUAAGGUCUUAGUUGACAUACAUGAACAAGUGAUUCAGUGGAAGGUGUAUGGGGAAGGCAGCAACAACCCAUGAAUGCUACAUAAAAUAGCCAAAGCCGUUCAUCUUAGUGACAGUUAUUAACGAAACACCAGAAAGCUCCUUUCUCCAGUGGAUGGUCUCAGUGAGCUUUGGGAUAUCAGUGCAAUCACCCAUAUCAUCCCCGCAGAGCAAAUCGAGGGUGUUUUCAACGAUAACACAGAGUCGAAUGAAGCCAUUACUGCGAAAUUUCACAGAGUUUGGAAAACUAGACUGCGUGAAUGUCCUUCCUCCAAAUGUGGGAAACACUAGCUCAGCCAUACUAUCCUCCAUGGCACCUUCUUGGAGGAUUGUGAAUGUACCUAUCAAAAUCCCUUCGAUUUCAUGGUUUUUCACUGGCUACUGAUACCAAUGAAGUGCUUCAGGAAUCCUUCCAUGCCCAAAGCAGCUGUUUUGCACCUGGUUUUAUGGGAAACUGUGAAAUGAGAUUUUCUCAAGAUUUUUGGGGGGUUGAGGGUGGGACAAGACCUGGUGAAUUUAAAACAACUAUAUGAAGCUUUAUUACUCAAGGAAAAUCAUACAUUCUGGAAGAAUUCAUUACUAGAAAUCUAAUGAACUAUCAGGACCUCAUAUUUCAUGUUUUAAUCUUUUACUGAUUUCCAAUAAAUAUUUUUAAUCAGGAAGGCUAGCUACGGUGACUAAUCUUGGAAAAAAUCUUUCAUACCAAGAGUAAGUCACAAAAGAUUUGCUUUUCUGUACACAAAUAACUCACAGAGAAUAAACAUAAUACUAUAAACUGAUUUUCAGUUAUACA